GUGUGUGUGUGUUUGGGUUUUGUUGUCGGCCGAAAUAUCUGUUUUAUUCAUUUAUUUAAUUCUAUGACUCAAUACAAUAGUGCACAAUUAUUUAUUAGCAGUUCACUGAUGUUUGCUAGCUCGUUAGCAGCUGCUUGAAUCUGAGUCAGUGAGAGAAGCUAUCAAUGCAAUGUAUUGUUCCUUAGCUGGCAGGGUUUGGGUUUUUCAUUUUGCUGUAGUAUGAAGCGAUCUCUGGUACAUCAAUGGUUGUACAUGAUGCCUAAAAAUAGAUUAUAUAGUUAGCACUUCUAACUCAAAAACCAUGAUUGUGAGUGAUGGCAGCAAUCAUGGUAUUUGAGUUAGAAGUGCUAAUUUCGAUAUCGAUAUGCUGUGAGCUUUGCUAUGGUCAGUCAAAUUUGAUGUUUGUAGCUCCGUGUAGCUGCCAUCAGCUAGUAAGCUCAUCUGACAAAACUGUUACAGAAACCUGGGACUUGUAUUUACAGCAAGGGUGUUGUACUCAGAAACUAUUCAGUCCAAAUUCUACUAAUGAAUCUUAUUGUUAUUACCAUCACAGGUCUUGGAGGUAUGUUAUUCCAAACUUUAAGUCAUCCAUCACUCUCAUGAUUGGGGUCUACUGUUAUCUGUAAGUGUGGAGUGUCAUUUUGGAUGAAUGUGAAUUCCCUUCAUAUUGAGCAUCUUAUAUAACAUAUCUAAAUGCUUGCAUUAUGAUUCCUCUUCUGUAGAAUAAAGUGAGUACAGUUUACAUUUCAAACGUUCACUUAGAUGUUAUUUUACAGAUGACAUCUACGUGAACUUUUGACUCUGACUUAACCUCCCAGGAUGUGGGUGAGUAAAACCACAGGCUGCAAAUGUGCGGCUGAAACAAUGCACUACUUUAUUUGAAUACGAAUGCAUCAUAAUUUUAAUUGUUGGAUAAGCCUUGCAGCAAAGUUUCAAUACAAGUCACCAGGAUCAUUAUUCUUUAAUAAAGGGCCAAAGAGAGCCCACGACAUGCUGGAAGGAACAGUUUAUGGGCUUGUAAAUAGAGAGACUUUUCCUAUACAUCCUAAACUUAAGCUUCCUUAACAUUACACUGAUUUACUUUAGAACAAAAAUGAGACGUAGCAAGUACUGUGAUGAAUUUAAAAAAUAGUUUUUAAUGUCAUCCAGGCAUCCUGAAUGGGUUUCAGUGUUGACUGUGUGCUUGUGUGACAGCUAUAAUCAAAUCUGCAUUUGACACGAAGAAAUCAGACGUACUGAGCCCUUUGCAAUUUUCAUGCACUGCAGCCCUGUGAAUUUGAGUCCAUCAGUUGCAGGAGAUUCUCCAACAUGACAAGCCAGUGGGGCUCUAAGAUGAAUUGUUUUAACAUAGACUUAAAAUAAUAAAUACAAUUUAGAAAGUCAUAUAUAGCAUGAAGAUGACAGCAGUGGUCUGUUUCUUCAUCAAACUGAGAAAGCGGACUGUUUGUAAUUGUGGCAAUAACACCUGUCUGUUGUAAGUAGCUGAGGCAGAAACAACAUGGGGUUGUCAUACCAUACCAAAGAUCACAAAAGAAUUAGAUUUAGGCGACUGUGACUUGAGCACAUCAACCUGAAGACUGAAGCACGUCUUCUCCACAAUGAGGUUUUUUCGGUUUGACGUUCCUCACAUACUUUCCUUGUGAACGGAAACAAACCAAACCCUCUCUUACUGUGACAUACAAAAGUGAAAGCACCAACAUCUUUUCUCAUUCUUGUCGAUCACCAUAAGCAAGGAGAUUGUCUCAUGUCACCCCGAGAGUUCACAGGUGAAGAAAUCGCAACACCAAACCAUCAACUUGGUGGUAUAAUUCAGAAGUUAACUCUAGUAGACUUUUAUUAGGCAUCUCUACUUCACCAACAACAAUGGUUGUUAUUUAUCUGUUUUUCUCAACUGAGAUGGAGAACAAACAUUUACCAACAUGAAGAGAAGAAAAGAAUGGAACCCAUAUUCUGUGCUCAAGAAAUGAGGCAUCUGUUGAAACUGGUGGGAUCAGUGUUGGCAAUGAACUUAUCCUUUCACUGGAGGUUACCCAUGAUGAAUCGGCCUCUGGUGACUGCAAAGACCCUUCCAGACCAUUCCAAUCUCCCAGUUGGGACGAUAGUGACAUGGAGUGGGAGUCUUCACAGAUUAGCAAUGUGGCACCGUCUAACUCCACCACAGAGGAUGAGAUCCCGAUGGACACAGACUAGACAGGGGGCCAGAGGAUCUUCAUCCAGCCAGCUGUCUGAAAUGUGAGGAGAAGAAAGAUUUGCAUUUCCUGUCAAGUCAAGAGCAAUAAAUAAAUUGAUCAGGAAAACCAUCUUGUCAUUCUUUGUACUGUGCUCAAAUGCAACAUUCUAUAUGCUGUGUUUAUAGAAAGUUUUUUGAACAGAAACUUCUAGGUAGGGAACACGCUUAUGUAGUAGCUUACAUCAUUUUUAAUUUUCUGUUUUGAUUUAAACAAUACGGAGAUACACCAGUGCUAUUACUGCAGUUUUGGUAUCCAUGUGGACAGGGAGGUUAUAGGUAAAGAUGUUUUUGCAUUAUCAGUAUAAAAAUAUUUUAAAAAAUCACUUGGCAAAUAGAUGGUUAGUUGGCACAUAUCAAAACCCAGAAAUGUGUUAAAAAAACUCACAUUUACCAAAUCCUCAGAAUUUCAGGAAAAAGGUGCAGAGACCGGGGAAAAGACUUAGACUGAAAUUACUGAUAUUUAAUUCAUUUGUAAAAUAGACUCAACAAUGUGAAAGUAUUGUCUUGAGAAGCAUUACUGACAUCUGCUGGAACACAAGUUGAAGUUCAGCUACUACUGUAUGUACAGCACAUACUAAUAUGAGUAUGCCGAGGUCACUUAAAGAACUAGUACAAGUUUAUAUGCUGAACAAAAAGGUUGCAAUAAAGCAGCACUAGAGGGUGAAUAAAGGUGGCAAUUCAAAUUGUGAUCUAUUUCCUUUUCUUUAUUUCGUCAAUACUACAUAAGACAAACAAAUCAGACUUCUAGCAUGAUAUGUGGCACUUUAAUAUUUAAAUAACACUUAAAUUCUGCACACAUCUCACGUUUAAUAAUCCUGCACCAUUAAGCUAACAUUGUAACAGUACAACACAUGGUGGCAUUUAUGUAUAAUGCUGUGCUGGGUACCCUUACAAAUCAAAUCAAAAAAUUCAAAGAUGAGCAGUUGAAAAAAUGAGUAUAAAAAGAAAUGUAAUUUUUUUAAAAAAAGCUUUUGAUAUUUUUUUACUUGGCAGUAUUUGAGAGAGUUGCCACUACCUGUCUUGCAUUUUCAUUUACAACCAUUCUUCCACCAGAGGAUUCAGUGACAGGAAGACAUUAUAAAAACACUUUCUCUACCGUAAUACCACUAAGUAAUGUGCCCUGCAAAGUCCUAUGUAAUUGAGCCUGUGAUUAUAACGAGCAGACUUUGCUCUUACUGACUGUUUGGUCAAAUGCAACUGAUUUCUCUUGUUUGUAAAGCUUUCACAGAUCUUAAUUGUAAGUUAAGUCAUCUGUUUAUCUCAUGACAACAGGAUAAAAAUGGUGGUAUUGUGCAUAUAUUUAACCUUAAUUUGUACUUGGAUGAUUAUGAAAAAUGUUCAGGGCUAUCGGCUCUGAACUGUAAGUGUGAAAUGUCAUUGUGGAUCAAUGUCCUCAAUAUUAUGUGGGGAUCUUGUAUAAUAUAUUUAAGCACAGUUGCAGUUGUGAUUCAUUUAUACAUUGAGAGCUGGAAAACAGGAUGUGGGUGCACAACGCUUUCUGCUGGUGAAGAGCAAAGUGCCUGACCGAGAUGAAGGUGUAAAGUAUAUAACAAGUCUCCUCCCACAGGUCGGGUUGUGGGUAGCACUGCCUCAUUUCAUUUCCCUGCAAUGAAAAGUGAACUGCCAGAACUGAAGCAGUCAGACACAGAAAAACACAGAAGUCAGAUUGAAUUUCUACUAAGGGAGAUUGCCUCUUCUUGGGCAAUAAAAUCAGAUGGUAUUAUAUAUCUCUAGUAGACCUCUAAAAGACAUUAGGCAUCUCUACCCCAUCAAAUGAGGAUGGAUGUAAAUUAUCUGUUCUUGUUAGCUCAGACAGAGGACCAACGUUUACCCAUACGAUGAAAGGAAAGGACCGAUGUUCUGUGCUCCAGAAAAGAGAUUCCUGCUCAGUGCGAAAGCAAUCCUAAUGGAGAUCAUGGUGUUGUCGUCUAUGACGAUAAAACAGUCCGCAUGUCUUUUCAACAAGAUGCAGAGUUGACUAAUAAUGGGCAGCGCCCUGCCAGUUCUGUGCAGCCUUUCCAACCUGGCCAUUUUGAGAAUGAGGACUCUUCCACGGAUAGGGAUGCUCUGGAGACCGACAGCAACUCACUAGCCAGUCUUCAGGAAGAGGAGGAGGAGGAGGAGGAGGCAGAGAAUGAAGGGGAAGACUGGGUGCAUCUACAGCCAUCAUGCAUCAACGUGGAUGACAAGAUGGAUGACAAGAGAAACUUGCAUGUUUAAUGUCUUUGAAAGGUCAACAGUUUCCCCUGCUUCCUGCUGUUGUGCUAAGCUAAACCAACAUACACACACUAGGUUGGUAUUAGACUCUUAAUAAGAUGAGAUGAGACAGUUAGUGAGUGAAUUCCCAUAACUAAUUUUUUAUGUAAAGCAUUAACCUGAAAUACACUAAACCUUUGACAACAAUUGAAGAAAAGCUAUAUGAGAAAUACCCUUGAUUAAUUUUGAAUAUCCAACACACUUUAUAUUUUGGUAAAUCUGUACCAUGGAGUGCAAUAUUUGGUAGCAAGGCCCCUGUUUGGUUCAAAUACACAGGCUGGAUUACAAAUAUAGUUUUUGAUACUAUGCUAUACUAUAUAAUCUGCGUAAAAUUGAUGUAGUUACAACAGUCAAACCUAUCCCUCAUGGAACAUAACUGUUGAAACAUUGUAAAUUUCAAACUCAUUAAAUGGCACUUGUCAUAUCCUUUCAGAGCCUUUAUUUUUUGAAAGUAAAAAACCCUCUAAUUCUACAUUCACAUCCAGAGUCACAAAUGAUUACACUCUUGACGUUGACUAGAGAUUAAUUGUGAAAAUCCAUGGUCUGGUUUGCGAAAAAUCAAAAAUGAGGGUUAAUGACAACAGAUUUACUGACCUUUAACUGUCUGUGUAAAGCCACGCAUAUUAAUCACAGUGAAAUUAUAAUUUAAAGGUUCUGUUUGUUAAAAGAAUGAUUUUUGAGUCCCAUUCCCAACUCGUCAACUAGCUCAAACAUGAUUUUGGCAUGAGCUUUCCCUUAAAGGACUGAAUUGUAGGAAAAUUCUAUUAUUGAGUCUCAUUCCCAACUCUUCAAAAACUGACGCUUUGUGAUUAUAUGACAGGUCGGCCACCAUCCCAAAGCAUUUUUGACGAUUUUCACACUAAAAUCUUGUUUGCAACAUAUGGCUGAUUGGUUGCACAGCUCAGAAGCAGGAGUGAAAAGUGAAGUGAAAUCUGACUUUCAUAAAGGCCACAGUUGAACAUGCAGUGGAAAGAAACACUUUAAUUCAAUAGUGCAGGUCAAAUUGCAAUACUUUACCUCUCAAAUUCUGCAAAAUCCCUCACCACGUGUAAUGGAAGGGAGGAAACUAGGAAGCAUGAGUAAUCUGCAACCAACUAACCCUGUCAGCCACUGUGGACAGUCUGCUGAUCUUCUAAUCUAAGACACUGAAUCCAAAGAGGACAAAGAGUGUGACUACUAACAGUUAUUCUGCAGAUUCCCAUGAAAGCAAUCGUUUCUUUAAACAUUUACCAUAUGGUUAAGCAGCCUUCAUAAUAUGUGAAAGGAUGGGUUUUCUUGAGAACUGAAACUGACUAGUUUGCUGAUCCUAGCUGAAAAUGCAGAAGUUUUAAAUCCAGAAGUGGGAGUGCAGAAGUAGUCAUUAGUCAUUUGUGUCUGUCACAGGCAUUUCUUUAUCAACUAUUUUGGGUGUUGGCUAGUUUAGACAGACACAGAUAUCGAACCACUGAGUACAGAUGUCACCGCAAAUUCUCUCAGCCGAAGCAGUGGACCAAGGCAGAAAGACAAUGACGAAAGGAAAAUCUAAUCAGUGUUUUGUACAAGGAUCCCAGGAAAAGAGGUUUCUAUUGAGUUUGGUGGUCAUACUGCUCACAUCAUCCGUACCAUUCGGUUAACGACCGCCAAUGGGAGGACUCCUUCUGGUGAAGACCCUCAAAGUUCUGUGAGACCAUUACAUGCUCAGGAUGAAGAGGAGCCCAUGGAGUGGGAGUAUUCAGACACGAUGAGCAAUGUGGCUCCAACUGAUGACGAGAUCCCGAUGGAUACAGACUAGCUGGAGCACAGUUCCAACUUCCACUGAUCACGACAACCCUUUCUACCUACUGGGAUACAGCUGCCUAAGUAUUUAUGAAUGCCCUCUAUGGAUUAUUUGUUGUCCAGAUCCGUCCAUCCAUUGUCAACCGCUUAUCCGGAGUCGGAUAGUGGGGGCAGCAGCUUCAGCAGCGAGACCCAGACUUCCCUUUCCCUGGCCAGGUCGGCUAACUCUGACUGGGGAGUUGCAAGGUGUUCCCAGGCCAGAGAGGAGAUGUACUGCCUCCACCUGGUCCUAUGUCUACCCCUAGGUCUCCUCCCAGUUGGACGUGCCAGAAACACCUCCCUAGGAAGGCACCCUGGUGGCAUCCUCAUCAGAUGCCCAAACCACCUCAACUGGCUCCUUUCCACGCAAAGGAGCAGCAGUUCUACUCUGAGUCCCUCCCGGAUGGCUUAGCUUUUCACCCUAUCUCUAAGGGAGACCCCAGCCGCCCUGCGGAGAAAACCCAUUUCAGCUGCUUGUACCCGCAAUCUCGUUCUUUCAGUCACAGCCCAACACUCAUGACUGUAGGUGAGGGUAGGGACGAGGAUUGACCAGUAGAUCGAGAGCUUUGCCUUCCGGCUCAGCUCCCUUUUCAUCACAACAGUGCGGUGAAGCGCAUGCAACACCGCACCUGCUGCUCCAAUUCUAGAGUCAAUCUCACGCCCCAUCAUCCCCUCACUCAUCAACAAAACCCUGAGGUACUUUAACUCCUUUGACUUGGGGCAAGGACUCAUUACUGUCUAAAUGUAUUGACUAAAUAAAGUUUCUAAUGAAUAUGUGUAAUCAA